CCUGGACCCAAACACAGGAGGCUCCCAUCUCUUCCGUGUACUUGGGAUAAAGGUUCCGCUCGCCUUUCCCGCAGCCGGAGCCGUUUCAAGAGGGCAACCUUGAGAGAGCAACGCUUGCGGACGGUCUGGCUGGUACACAGGACUGAACCCUGUUAAGGCCUCUUCCUAAACUUCAGGAUUCUGGCGGGCGCGUGCAGAGAUCUGCCCCCCCCUGUGACCAAGGAACACCAGCCUCCGCAGACUUACCAAUUUGGGCUUCUUCCAGUGCUAAAAACCGAUUACAAAUAUGAAACAGAUUUCACUACUGGACUUGAAUGCCAUAUAAAAAAUGAGAAGAUCUUCAAAAUAAUUGAAAAAGAUCCUCACCAAAGAAUAGAUGCAGUGUGGAUGGCAAGAAAUCAAGGAGGCUUUGAUAUUGGGUCUGACACAUCACAGACCCUGAAAUGCUGGUGGAGUGAAUGAGGAGUCUCUCACGCUGCACCGUGGGAACUAUACUGAGACAGCAGUGCAAUGUGUGUGAGCCCUGGAAUCCUGCUCCAUAUGGAAAUUUCAGAAUUUGUUGAUUGUGGACAAUAAACAGAGUCCUCCAGCUCUGUGCUUUUAUCCUGGUGGUGGCCCUCAAGAGUAAGCCGAGCAUCCUGUUUCAUCUCAGUGCAUUUUCGUCUUUAAGAACAUUGGGGGUCAGUGGGGGUUCAGAAGGCGUCUUCCUUUCUCAUCUACCACUGACGGCAUGGUUUGAGGACUGUGGGGAGAUGGCAAGGUAAGGGAUACCUUGCCAGCACCGAGGACUUUCAGAAUGACUGAGCUGACAUGUCUGUUAGUUGCUUUGUGGAUUAAGAUUUUCCUUUUCUCUGGCAGCAAAUAUAGCUCUUAGAACUCUUGGCA